rnacentral:rRNA from 1 species
GUAAGGAAUAUUGGACAAUGGACGCAAGUCUGAUCCAGCCAUGCCGCGUGAAGGAUUAAGGUCCUCUGGAUUGUAAACUUCUUUUAUAAGGGACGAAAAAAGGCUUUUCUAAGUCGUCUGACGGUACCUUAUGAAUAAGCACCGGCUAACUCCGUGCCAGCAGCCGCGGUAAUACGGAGGGUGCAAGCGUUAUCCGGAUUCACUGGGUUUAAAGGGUGCGUAGGCGGGCAGGUAAGUCAGUGGUGAAAUCCUAGAGCUUAACUCUAGAACUGCCAUUGAUACUAUCUGUCUUGAAUAUUGUGGAGGUAAGCGGAAUAUGUCAUGUAACGGUGAAAUGCUUAGAUAUGACAUAGAACACCUAUUGCGAAGGCAGCUUACUACGCAUAUAUUGACGCUGAGGCACGAAAGCGUGGGGAUCAAACAGGAUUAGAAACCUCUGUAGUCC